UACGUAGGUGACCAGCGUUGUCCGGAUUUACUGGGCGUAAAGUGUGCGCAGGUGGCUGAGCAAGUCGAGUGUGAAAUCCCCGGGCUUAACUUGGGAAUUGCGCUCGAAACUACUUGGCUCGAGUGUGGCAGAGGAAGGUGGAAUUCCAGGUGUAGCGGUGAAAUGCGUAGAGAUCUGGAGGAACACCGAUGGCGAAGGCAGCCUUCUGGGCCAACACUGACGCUCAUGCACGAAAGCGUGGGGAGCAAACAGG
rnacentral:rRNA from 1 species